rnacentral:rRNA from 1 species
GUGCCAGCCGCCGCGGUAAGACGGAGGAUGCAAGUGUUAUCCGGAAUCACUGGGCGUAAAGCGUCUGUAGGUGGUUUAAUAAGUCAACUGUUAAAUCUUGAGGCUCAACCUCAAAAUCGCAGUCGAAACUAUUAGACUAGAGUAUAGUAGAGGUAAAGGGAAUUUCCAGUGGAGCGGUGAAAUGCGUAGAUAUUGGAAAGAACACCGAUGGCGAAAGCACUUUACUGGGCUAUUACUAACACUCAGAGACGAAAGCUAGGGUAGCAAAUGGGAUUAGAUACCCCAGUAGUCCUAGCCGUAAACUAUGGAUACUAGAUGUUGAACAGAUCGACCUGUGCAGUAUCAAAGCUAACGCGUUAAGUAUCCCGCCUGGGAAGUAUGCUCGCAAGAGUGAAACUUAAAUGAAUUGACGG